AGGACACCCUUUGCCCUCAGACUAUUAAAUUGAGAUUUUACUGUAUCAGUGCCUUUAAAUUAUGCCUAAUAAGCAAUUGGCAACCAGCACAGCUCUCUCAACAGAGCAUCAUUUAAUUCCUUGCAUCACGUAGCAGCCUGCCACAUUUUCCACCAACUGUAAUUUCCAGUUUUCAGUGAUAGCUCCAUGUGAAAUGCAAGAGUCAAAUUGCAACAGGCUAGAUCUAAGCUGGGGAUAAUGAUCAAGCUGAGGAUCAAGGAGCACUCUUGGACUAUGGACCUGCUCUUUAGUGGGGAAUGUAAUGCCAUUCAAAGCAGACUCAGCUUCACUUCCCACAUCUGGUUUCUAUUUACCAAUAGCACUUCAUCUUGUCUGGAUGAAAUUGCAGCUUGUUCUCUCUCAUUCAGCCAAUUCUUGGAGAUAGGCAACAUUCAAAAGUACCGAUUUCUUCUCUGGAGUUGUUCUACUUACAUCAGAUUCAAAAGAGUGUUCCUACAAUCUGUUUUGCAAUCAGUGCCGUCUGUGAUGAAGGAGAAAACACUCCUAGCUACAGAAGAGCUAAUCAAUCAAAACUAAACAGCCACUCCAGAUGGGGCCAGCUGCCAAGGCUGGACACUCAAACUCUGAGUAAGCAAUGAGGAGCAGGAAGAUUUCCCUGUGACUCAGAUUACGUCCCUUCUGGCUUUGUUCUUUUCUCUUCAUCACAAGGAGACAGCAUUCUUACUCAUCAGGUGCAGCUUUGAGUGCAACAUUGCGGCCACCAUCUUGACUUUUUUGAACACACCCUGCAGAGACCCCUUCCUGAAGAUAAAUCCACUCUUCUGGAUGAGGACAGCGUUGGUUGCUACACUUACGAAGUGGUGGUCAACAGGCCUUGGGUGUGGAGAGAAAGACAGAAAGCUGGGGCCUCUUCAAUUCUUUUAUAAAUGA